ensembl:lncRNA TOMM22-DT TOMM22 divergent transcript
GGUGCGAUCUCAGUUCACUGCAGCCUCCGCCUCCCGGGUUCAAGUGAUCCUCCCAUCUCGGCCUCUGAAUAGCUGGGACUACAGGCAUGCACCACCAUACCCGGCUAAUUUUUGGGGUUUUUUUUGAGACGGAGUCUCACUCUUUCGCCUAGGCUGGAGUGCAGUGGCACAAUCUUGGCUCACUGCAACCUCUGCCUCCCAGGUUCAAGCAACUCUUCUGCCUCAGCUUCCCGAGUAGCUGGGACUACAGGCGCACGCCACCACACCUGGCUAAUUUUUGUAUUUUUUAGUAGAGACAGGGUUUCACCAUAUUGGCCAGGCUGGUCUCGAACUCCUGACCUUGUGAUCCGCCCACCUCAGCCUCCCAAAGUGCUGGGAUUAUAGACGUGAGCCACCGUGCCCGGCCUAAUUUUUGUAUUUUUUAAAGUAGAGUCAGAGUUUCGCCACAUUGGCCAGGCUGGUCUCAAACUCCUGACCUCAAGUGAUGCGCCCACCUCAGCCUCCUAAAGUGCUGGGAUUACAGGCAUGAGCCACUGCGCCUGGCCUAGAUAUUCAUUUCUACAACUCACUGAGCACCCACCCCGAUUCGGGACUCGGUACUGGGUAUCCAGGGAUGCGUAUGACCAGCUCUGCCCUCAAUAGCGGCUCAACACAGGGAGACCUUCAGGUUCUUGGAUAAACAAGCUCUGACGAUCAUUCCCAAACAAGAGUUCAAAAAUGUUUUCCGCAAUAGCAAUGAUAUGGACGGAAAGGAUGCCCUCCUGCACUGAUGCCUCUGGAGGACCACACUUUCCAUUCAGAGACACGCUCAGCACUCAACUCAUGCUGCACACCCGGCCGACCCCAGUACCGACACUCACAGAAUGCAGGUUGGAGAGAGAUGCCGACUUCCGAGGAGGUGUCUUCUUCGGACUGAACGUAUUCCCAAAGAAAGGCAUCUUUGGCCUGAUGAAAGCAAAGCCAGUGCUCCCUUCUCCUAGGGUCAGAAAAAGUCAGGGGUACAAGCAGCUGGAUCACUGACCUUAUGCCAUUGUCUUCAAAUCUUGAAGACAUACAUUUUAUCAUGUGGCUACUAACGAUCCUGGUGCUAUGGUUUGAAUGUCCCCACCAAAACUCAUGUUGAAAUUGAAUUGCCAUUGUUUAACAGUAUAAGGGGUGACUGGGCCAUGUGAGCUCUGCUCUCAUGAAUGGAUUAAUGCCAUUGUCAUGGAGUAGGUUAGUUUUCUCUGGCGUGGGCUCCUGGCAAAAGGAUGAGUUCUGCUGCCAUGCUGUCUGUCUCAUGCACUUGCUCACCAUGUGAGCCUUCUGCCUCACACAGGAUGACCCUCACCAGAUACUUGCACCAUGCUCUUGGACUUCCCAGUC